CAUUUACUCCGACAGAGAGCUCUUUCUUAAUUUAUGGGUGGUGGUGCAUGGCCGUUCUUGGUUGAUGGAGCGAUUUGUCUGGUUAAUUCCGUUAAAGAACGAGUUCUUAGCCUGCUAACUAGCUAUGCGGAGCCAUCCCUCCGCAACUAGCUUCUUAGAGGGACUAUCGCCAUUUAGGUGACAAAAGUUUGAGGCAAUAACAGGUCUGUGAUCCCCUUAGAU
rfam:Triticum aestivum genome assembly, contig: Triticum_aestivum_CS42_TGACv1_scaffold_513728_6BS